UUGCGAACUUAUAAAUCAUGUCAUUUUUUUAAUUUGAAAAAAAAGAACAUGGCGCUAUGCCAGAAUAAGAAAGGAAAAUCCAGCCUAGCCUGGUAAUAUGGUUUGGAUUUGUGUCCUCCUCCAUAAUGAAUUGUAAUCCCCAUUGUUGGAGGAGAGGCCUGGUAGGAGGUGAUGGGAUCAUGGGGGCGGAUUUCUCCCUUGCUGUUCUCAUAAUAGCGAGUCCUCCUGAGAUCUGGUUUUUUAAAAGUGUGUGGCACCUUUCAUUUCGCUUUCUUCUUCCUGCUUUUGCCAUGAUUGUAAGUUUCCUGAGGACUUCCCAGUCAUGCUUCCUGUACAGCCUGUGGAACCACAGAACCAAUUAAGCCUUUUUUUCUUUAUAAAUUACCCAGUCUCAGGUAGGUCUUUAUAGCAUUGCGAGAAUGAACUAAUACACCUAAUAAUCAGUUAAGGCCCCUCUGAGGAGCUGACUUUUAAGUGGAAUCUGAAACGCAAGAAGGAGCCAGCUACAUUAGGGGUGGAGAAUGCAGAAAGCUUUCUAGAAUAAAGGAACAAUAAAGACCCUAAAGUGGGAAGAGGCUUGGGAUAUUGGGAGGACCCAGAGAAAGCCAUGAUGAUGGAGUAGAGGGAUCUAGGGGAGAGAGGCCAGAGAGGAAGAACUGGACAUGAGCAGUAGGCUUGUAGGCCAUGGUGUGGGGUUUGGAUUUUCUCCUAAAUGCAAUGGGAAGCUAUUUAAGGCUUUUAGCAGGGGAGUGACAUGAUCCAAUUUACAUUUUAAAAAGGUCACUCAGACAGCCUGGAGGAUAACAGAUUGGAAGGGGCAAGAAGGGGAUGAGGGAGGCCGCCAUCCAGGUGAGGUGACGAGGUGUCUGAAGCUGCAGGUGGAACCCUGGGAGGCACCACACAGCACCUGCUUCCUGCUGCACCUCAGACGGUUCCAGCAGCAUUUGUGCUAAGGCAGGUCUUCUACGAAGUGUACUAGUGACUGAUGACAAAUGCUGUAGGCCCAUAGUCACAUCCCGAGAAUCUCUCCGUUGUUUCUGCCAUGCACACACUAUCCCGGUUCUGGCUUGAUAGAUCAACAAUGCCUACAGCUCACUCAACCCCGCGAGGUGUGUGUCAAGGGGUGCUCAGAGCCUGCUCCCGACCCCACUCCGGUGCACCCUCAUCUCACACAGGAUGCCGCUCCAGAGGUGGCUGUGGGUGAAGGGCUGUAGGAAUAUCGCCCGCCCACCCCCACCCCGAGCCAGCAGCAAAUCCUGUAUACUGGGACAUGUGAUGUCUGAAGUGCCAACCCAUCUGGUUGACCAGAUUUGCUGCCUUGAUGAAGCUGUCUUUCCUGACCAAGUUGGCUGUUGUUACCAACAGAUACUGGGUCCUUGUGCUGUUGUUAAAUUAGUUGUGAAUAAAAGGAAACCAGAGCAACUAAAGCCUGCGGUUCCCAUAGGCUAGAGAAAAUCUGUCGAUAGCAAUCGUUUCCUAGGAUGGUCAUUACAAAGGUAUUAGCUCUGCAUGUUCAGUUCCCCUCUGACUUUCACCGGAUUUAUAGAUUGUUCGUUCAUAGGAACUGCCAGGCACAUUUCUGACAAAAAUAUCUGCAUGUACGUAGCCAAAUGUGUGUGGCAGGCACUGAACUGAGCACGUUGGGGAAUAGAUCCCAUCACCUACCUACUCACAAACCUCACCUUAAAUCUGUUUCCCCCAGCACCAUCUAGCUACUCCCUGCUGUGAAUUUAAGAGUUAGGCUGGGCAUGGUGGCUCACGCCUGUAAUCCCAGCAUUUUGGGAGGCUGAGUUGGGCAGAUCUCUUGAAGUCAGGAGUUCGAGACCAGUGUGAUUAACAUGGUGAAACCCUGUCUCUACUAAAAAAUACAAAAAUUAGCCAGGCGUGGUGGUGGGCAUCUGUAAUCCCAGCGACUUGGGAGGCUGAGGCAAAAGAAUCACUUGAACCCGGGAGGCAGAGCUUGCAGUGAGCCGAGAUUGCGCCAUUGCACUCUAGCCUGGGCGACAGAACGAGACUCCAUCUCAAAAAAAAAAAAAAAAAGAGUUAACCUUUGGCCAGGGCGGUGGCUCACGUCUGUAAUCCCAGCACUUUUAGAGGUCGAGGUGGGUGGAUCACUUGAGGUCGGAAGUUUGAAACUAGCCUGGCCGACACGGUGAAACCCCGUCUCUACUAAAAAUACAAAAGUUAGCCAGGCAUGGUGGCAGGCACCUGUAAUCCCAGCUACUCUGGAGGCUGAGGCAGGAGAAUGGCUUGAAGCUGGGAGGCAGAGGUUGCAGUGAGCCGAGAUCGUGCCACUGCACUCCAGCCUGGGCAACAGGGUGAGACUCCAUCUCAAUGAAAAAAAAAAAAGAGUUAGCCUUGAUCUCUCUCUUCCUCCGUACUGGCAUUUACUGAAUAUCUCCAAACCACUCACUUUUCUCCCCUGCCCACUGCUCUCCUAGUCCAAGAUGCCUACAGCAGCGACCUCUCAGGCCUCAGUGUCCAGACUCCUCUGCUCUUCUCCCUGCAGCCUUGUUCUGAGCUCCCCGGACUCAUCACUUCCUGCUCCCACCUCAUCCUCUAUACAUCAGCCGUAUUCAUUGGCCAUUAGCCCCUCAAGUGUGCUCUCUCUCAACUCUGGGCCUUCCCAUAUCUCAAAGAGUUGACAGAUUGCCAACUUCAGCCCUGCUUUGUUUUGUAAAUUAAGUUUUACUGGCACCCAUCCAACCCCAUUCAUUGAUAGGUUAUCUGUGGCUGCUUUUGUGCUACAACAACAAAGUUGAGUAGAAAACUUUGCCGACCCUCCAUAUACAAUUUCUUCUGCCUCUCCUCUUCUUAUGUCCUUUCUCCGUGUUCACACCUUCCUUCCCUUCACUUGGUUAAUGCCUACUUACCCUUCAGGCCUUAGACUGGAAAUAACUUCUUCCAGGAAGUCCUCCCUGACCACACCCUAUCCCCUGUAUAUGUUCCCAUAGCACUCCAUUGUUGAAUCACAGCAGUAAUUACAAUGGCCUGCUUACUUAGACAAGUCUGUAUCCCCACUAGAUUGUAUGUUCCUUGAGGACAGAGGCUGGGUUGUAAACCCAAAAUAUCUGAGAUGGGUCUCAGUGAAUUUAGAAAGUUUGUUUUGCCAUGGUUAAGGAUGUACCCAUGACACAGCCUCAGGAGAUCCUGGCCACGUGUGCCCAAGGUGGUUGGGGUACAGCUUGCUUUUACACAUUUUAGGGAGACACAGGACAUCAAUCAAUGUGUGUAAGAUGUACAUUGGUUCGGUUCAGUAAAGUGGGACAACUCGAAGUGGGGGCUUCCCAGUUAGCAGCAGUUAACAUCAUGCUACUUGAUAAGCACCCUCGGAACUACAAAUUGAAAGAAUACUAAGAGAAGCAAGAAAAUGGACGCUUAGCCCUGAUGGGAAAUCAUACCUCGUUUCGUGACAAUCUAUUACAUUCAUGUCAAGAGGAAAGCCAAGGGAACACAGCCGGGAUGUGAUGUCAGCAGGCAAGAAGACUGAAAGUGGACUUUGAUUAAUUACCUGAUUGGUUCCUGCCCCACUUAGACCUGAAUGAAGCAAGUCUGCCACAUUGAAAGGUUUGGGGAAUUUUAGGUGGAAGAGGGGUGGGAUGGGACGGAGA
rnacentral:lncRNA from 1 species